AAUUUUCAGAAAAUAUAUACAAUCAAGCUCAUUCACAAGGACAAUUCAACAUAUCUAAUUCCCUUCUAAUAAAGUCAAAUUGAUCUUCAUUUAAGGCUUUUAUGAAAAUAUCCGCUAAUUGAUGCUUUGUAUCAAUAAAUUCUAGAACGACAUUAUUAUUAUUGACAUGAUCUCGUAUAAAGUGAUGUCUAAUGUCAAUAUGCUU
rnacentral:lncRNA from 1 species